GCCUGAUCCAGCCAUGCCGCGUGCAGGAUGACGGUCCUAUGGAUUGUAAACUGCUUUUGUACGGGAAAAAACACUCCGACGUGUCGGAGCUUGACGGUACCGUAAGAAUAAGGAUCGGCUAACUCCGUGCCAGCAGCCGCGGUAAUACGGAGGAUCCAAGCGUUAUCCGGAAUCAUUGGGUUUAAAGGGUCCGUAGGCGGUCUGGUAAGUCAGUGGUGAAAGCCCAUCGCUCAACGGUGGAACGGCCAUUGAUACUGCUGGACUUGAAUUACUGGGAAGCAACUAGAAUAUGUAGUGUAGCGGUGAAAUGCUUAGAGAUUACAUGGAAUACCAAUUGCGAACGCAGGUUGCUACCAGUGGAUUGACGCUGAUGGACGAAAGCGUGGGUAGCGAACAGGAUUAGAUACCCUGGUAGUCCACGCCGUAAACGAUGGAUACUAGCUGUUGGGAGCAAUCUCAGUGGCUAAGCGAAAGUGAUAAGUAUCCCACCUGGGGAGUACGUUCGCAAGAAUGAAACUCAAAGGAAUUGACGGGGGCCCGCACAAGCGGUGGAGCAUGUGGUUUAAUUCGAUGAUACGCGAGGAACCUUACCAAGGCUUAAAUGCAGACUGACCGAUUUGGAAACAGAUCUUUCGC
rnacentral:rRNA from 1 species